rnacentral:rRNA from 1 species
GACAGAGGGUGCAAACGUUGCUCGGAAUUACUGGGCGUAAAGCGCGUGUAGGCGGGCCGAUAAGUCAGGCGUGAAAUCCCCGAGCUCAACUCGGGAACUGCACCUGAAACUGUCGGCCUAGAGUGAUGGAGAGGGUAGCGGAAUUCCUGGUGUAGAAGUGAAAUUCGUAGAUAUCAGGAGGAACACCGGUGGCGAAGGCGACUACCUGGACAUUAACUGACGCUGAGACGCGAAAGCGUGGGGAGCAAACAGGAUUAGAUACCCUGGUAGUCCACGCCGUAAACGAUGGACACUAGGUGUCGCGGGUUUUGACCCCCGCGGUGCCGUAGCUAACGCGUUAAGUGUCCCGCCUGGGGAGUACGGCCGCAAGGCUAAA